UUAACAUUUCAUAUAUGUUUUUUACUUUGACUCAUUUCAAGAAUUGUGUACAUUGAUGCACCAGCACAUAACUCUAUAGGCAUACACCACUAUUCUCAUGGGAUUUUCUGUUAAAAUUGGAACCGAGUUGUCAGACUUUAAGCAAAGUUGGAACAUUUUUUUAGCCUCAACGUCUGGGUUUUCUUUCUAAGAUCAGAAAGUGUGGUCUGCGUUUUGAGAAUUGGAAGAAGGGUAUCAGGAAAAUAUGGGAGCAUGAGGGUUUGGGCUUUAUGCUAGUGUGUAUAAAUUAUUAGAAACUUAUCCUGAAUUGCCACAAGUGGCCAAAAGGGAUCGAUUGACUGUUUCUAAAAUACCCCAAUUUGUGCCAGCUGGAGGACCAAAUUGCAGUAUUGGAAGAAUCUUAAAGGUGUUUUGGUAAGAGGUAAAGUCCAUGGUCUCUUUUGAGUUAAAGAAAAGCGGAUUCGGUGGCAUGUUCAGGUGACUUGUUAACUACUCAUUGAUCCAUUGUCAUUUUCUUAUGGCCUUACCCAAACGGGUGGGGUCAUACCUCCAUAUGCUUUUCUUUACUCCUUCCCUUUUCUUAUUAUCAUUUUUUCUAGAAGAUAUCAUCAUGGUACUAAGAUUUGAUCAUGUUAAGAGUUCUAACGGCUCAAGUUGGUUUCUUCCUCUGCAUUUAGAUGCUAUAUAUUUAUUUCUUUUGCUCAAAAUGGUAGCCCAAAAGUAGGCUGAUUGAUUAAGGGGGAAGUAACAGAUUUAUCCAUCCGUUUCACUAUUAAUACUAUUUUGUCGCUUAGAAAGGGAAAAGUUGAGGGAUCCCCAUGUGUCUCAUUGUUCAUUGUGUGGGGACAAGUUCUGAUGUGGCUGACUAGAUUGGAUAAACUUUAGCUAUAGCUCAUGGGAAGUUUAUCAAAUUUGGUUCUUUAUGUUAAGUAUCCAAUUAAUUGUAACUGAAUUUUCCAACGACAUUACAUGUAAGUUGGCUGAAAUUGUAGCACAGGUGAAUUUCCACUUGGUUCUACAUCAACUUUUUAAAUUACAGUUUAAUAGGUAACUAACCUCGUGCUCUAUUUAUUUUUUAUAUAGAUAGAAAAUCUAGAUUUUUCUUUCUUUGCUGUUAAGUUGAGUGAAGUCAGAAUACCCACACGUGGCAGGGGCCUCCAUGAUUGGAUUGAUCUUUAUUCUGAAAAUAAUUUACUUAUUUUAGUCUUUUGUGCUUUGUCUUUGGAUUAAGGAUGAGGCAAACAUCUAUCCCUUUCUUCCCUUUAAGUCUCCUUGCUCGUGCCGUCAUGCCAGACUGGUUCUUGUGAUUAUUUUAAAGACAGAUAUGUCUUAAUGUUGCUUUCUUUUUCCUGAAAUAGAAGUAAAACAAAAAGAUCUACACAAUCACAGCCGUUGGGAGAAAUCUAAAUCUUGAAAUGGACGGCUAGUAGUGUGGGGAAUAGAAGAAAAUCGAUGGGGUUGGGAUGUCUGAUGAACGCCACAUGCACGUAGUUUUCAAAAAAAAGAGUUUGAUCUAAAUGAGGAAGCACGCACAUCUGAUUCGGAUCUAAUUGUUGCCCAUAAAGUAAUCUUUCUGUCAUGUCCCACGUUGGUUGGGGUGGAGAACAAAAAACCCUUCAAUAAGGAGCGUGAAAACCUUUCUCUAGUAGACGCGUUUUAAAGUCUUGAGGGAAAAUUUGAAAGGGAAAGCCCAAACAAGACAAUAUCUGCUAGCGGUGGAUCUGAGCCAUUACACUUUCGAACUUGGGAAGGAUAUGGAGGUAAUAGCUGUACAUGUGUGUUCAUAGAAAUCUUUUGUUUUAUGAUUCUUUUUUUAACUGAACAUUGUGGUUUUUAAAACAAGAUUGUUAUUUGUAUCACUAGUUGAAAC